UGAAGCGGCAACAGCUCAAAUUUGAAAUCUGGCUUCGGCCCGAGUUGUAAUCUGUAGAGGAUGCUUUGGGUGUGGUGCCUUCCGAGUGCCCUGGAACGGGACGCCACAGAGGGUGAGAGCCCCGUAUGGUCGGUACCAAGCCUGUGUAAAGCUCCUUCGACGAGUCGGGUAGCUUGGGAAUGCUGCUCUAAGCGGGAGGUAAACUUCUUCUAAAGCUAAAUACUGGCCAGAGACCGAUAGCGCACAAGUAGAGUGAUCGAAAGAUGAAAAGCACUUUGAAAAGAGGGUCAAAUAGUACGUGAAAUUGUUGAAAGGGAAGCGCUCAUGACCAGACUUGCGCCGGGCUGAUCAUCCAGUGGUCUCCACUGGUGCACUCUGCCCGGCUCAGGCCAGCGUCGGCUGUUGCGGGGGGACAAAAGCUCUGGGAAAGUAGCUCUCUUCGGGGAGUGUUAUAGCCCUCUGCAGAAUACC
rnacentral:rRNA from 1 species